CCUACGGGUGGCAGCAGUGGGGAAGAUUGCACAAUGGGGGAAACCCUGAUGCAGCGACGCCGCGUGAAGGAAGAAGUAUUUCGGUAUGUAAACUUCUAUCAGCAGGGAAGAAAAUGACGGUACCUGACUAAGAAGCCCCGGCUAACUACGUGCCAGCAGCCGCGGUAAUACGUAGGGGGCAAGCGUUAUCCGGAUUUACUGGGUGUAAAGGGAGCGUAGACGGCAUGGCAAGUCGGGUGUGAAAGGCCGGGGCUCAACCCCUGGACUGCAUUGGAAACUGUCAGGCUGGAGUGCAGGAGUGGUAAGUGGAAUUCCUAGUGUAGCGGUGACCUGCGUAGAUAUUAGGAGGAACACCAGUGGCGAAGGCGACUUACUGGACUGUACCUGACGUUGAGGCUCGACAGCGUGGGGAGCAAACAGGAUUAGAUACCCCUGUAGUC
rnacentral:rRNA from 1 species